rnacentral:rRNA from 1 species
UACGUAGGGUGCAGGCGUUACUCGGAAUUACUGGGCGUAAAGCGUGCGCAGGCGGUCUGCUAAGAGAGAUGUGAAAUCCCCGGGCUUAACCUGGGAACUGCGUUUCUAACUGGCAGGCUUGAGUGUGGCAGAGGGGGGUGGAAUUCCACGUGUAGCAGUGAAAUGCGUAGAGAUGUGGAGGAACACCGAUGGCGAAGGCAGCCCCCUGGGCUAACACUGACGCUCAUGCACGAAAGCGUGGGGAGCAAACAGG